rnacentral:lncRNA from 1 species
GCGGCGCUGGCUGGCCCUGGCGCACCAGCCAUGGCUCGCGGUCAAGAAAGUGGAGAAGAGGAGAAAUCUGUAGUUGAUCUGGGUUCUGUGCCUUCUAUGCUUAGUAGUAGUAUCCUAUGCUUAGUAGUUUGCUUCCGUGUUCUGAACCUGAUGGGCAAAUACUGUGUUUGCCGAGUUAUAUGGUUCGAGAGUUAACAAAACUGUUCUCCAGUUAUGAAUUAUGCUAAUGACGAUGCUGUUCUGCUUUAUGACUCUUUGUGGUGCCGCAUUUAGCCUGUUGCGAAUCUGGUGAUGCAAUUGUUUUCUUGCUGUCCUGUAUGUAUUUCUUUUCUUCCGCUGUGUUGGCUGUGGAUCCGCGGCUGUCUUCUGCAGAUCCCGCAACUAAUUGAAUGAUUAUUUGCUGCAAACCUUGCUGUGUCAAGAUGAUAGCGCUGAGCCGAUAGGUUCUCUUCGUGCGUUGUAAUUUCCCUUGCUUUUUUCUGAUAUCCCGUUUGGGAUGCAUUGCAGAAUCCUUCCCGCGUCUCUGCAGAUCUUAAUUUGUCGGUGUAAUAUGGCCAGAACUUUGCAGAUGGGUGUCAAUUCGUUUGGAUUUGUUUUUCGUACGGUAAAUCUUGCUUGGCACAGUCCCUGCCAAAGUCAGUCUCGCUGAAUUUUCUGCCCUUAUCGAACAGCCUACUUGUGCUCGCUCCACUACUGAUUGGCAAUCGACCUUGCCAUCGUGCUGCUCUAGCGUUUAAUUUGUUUGGACUCCGGAGACGCGCUUCCAACUCAAAGGAACGGCAGAAGUAGUGGGGCGCUUUGGAAGCCUUUCAGUUUGAGGUUCCUAGCGAUAAGUUUGAUGUUCCCGUGGGAUUCAUAAUUUCUUUAGUUGGAAAAUGCCUAUCGCUAUUUUAAAAAACAAAUGAAAAAGGUGUCUACCUGUUUUUUGAAAUAUCCAUGAAAAUGUUCUUAAUUUUUAAAAAUGUACAAGAAUUUAAACGUUCAGUAUUUUUAAAGAUUUUUUUGAGUGGAAGUAUUUUAAAAGAAAUAGUUCGUAUAUAUGGCUAUCCAUAUAUUCUGUUUCGCCAUGCAAAAAUAGGGAAAAAAGAAAAAAUAUUCUGUUUCGCGGGCCGUCUGACGGUCUAGGCCCAUCAGCCCCCCAAGUGUCCAGUCCCAUAUUCAUUGCUCCCUUACCACCCACACCAACCCACGACCCACGGCCCCUAAUAAAGCCGAGCGCGGAAGCCCACCCACCCACAAGUUUCUUCGCUGCCCCUCGUCGUCGUCGGCGCUUCCCCCUCCCGAUUCAUCGCCGACCCCCCUCCUCUCCCCCCUCCCGCAGCACUCGCCCGCUUACAGACACCAAUCCACUCCGCCGCCUCCCACACUCCUCUCCACCAAGCCACCGCCGGGCCAGAAGAACCCCCCUCCGUGUCUCCUCGGCCAAUCGCCCCUCGCCCCCCACACGCCUCCGAUUCCCCGCGUGCCUCAUUUUCGCUUGGCGCGCGCGUCCUUUCGAUCCGGCUCUAUCCGUCCGUACCAGCGGCGAAGUCGGGCGCCUCUGCUCUCUGCGGCGAGCGGCUAGGGUUUCCGCCCGAGCUCCCGAGCUCCGGGGCGCGGGGGGAUGGCGGCCCAGGGAGGCGAGGUGGCUGCCGGAUCCGACCCCAAGCCCAACGAGGUAUGCUUGCGCCGCUCCUCGUCACUCAGGAAUCCCGAGCUUGGCAGGCCUUUGCUUCCGCCCUGUUUUAACCUUUCCUGGGCUUGCGCGCGAUUCGUUGAGUUCCGGUUAUGGCUUGAGAACUGUGAGAUGCAGAUUGGUCGCGCAGACGGCUAGGUUGCUAGUUGAUUCGCAUUAUUAUUAUAUAGCGUCUGCUUCUUCGCUUUGCUGUGGGAUACUUAGGUCACCUGGGGCACGUGGAUAGCUUCUUCUGGCUGCUGGAGAUUGGAUUUGACAUCCGAUUUUGCUAAUUUACUGCCUCACAAGUGUAGGAAUUUUGACCAGCGUACAACUGAAGUAGUUGAUGUAGUGUAUUUUGUCACUGUUACUUUGCUCAUUCACCUGCUUUAAC